UUGCUUUAACAGCACAUAUACUAAAAUUGGAAAGAUAUAGAGAAGAUUAGCAUGGCCCCUUCACAAGGAUGACACGAAAAUUUGUGAAGCGUUCCAUAUUUUA
ensembl:snRNA U6 U6 spliceosomal RNA